UACGAAGGGUGCAAGCGUUACUCGGAAUUACUGGGCGUAAAGCGUGCGUAGGUGGUUCGUUAAGUCUGAUGUGAAAGCCCUGGGCUCAACCUGGGAAUGGCAUUGGAAACUGGCGACCUAGAGUGCGGUAGAGGGCAGUGGAAUUCCCGGUGUAGCGGUGGAAUGCGCAGAUAUCAGGAGGAACACCUAUAGCGAAGGCAGCUCGCUGGGACGGUACUGACGCUGAGGCGCGAAAGCGUGGGGAGCGAACAGG
rnacentral:rRNA from 1 species